GCGUAAAUGGGCGCAGCCUGAUCUAGCCAUGCCGCGUGAGUGAUGAAGGCCUUAGGGUCGUAAAGCUCUUUCGCCUGUGAUGAUAAUGACAGUAGCAGGUAAAGAAACCCCGGCUAACUCCGUGCCAGCAGCCGCGGUAAUACGGAGGGGGUUAGCGUUGUUCGGAAUUACUGGGCGUAAAGCGCACGUAGGCGGAUUGGAAAGUUGGGGGUGAAAUCCCGGGGCUCAACCCCGGAACUGCCUCCAAAACUAUCAGUCUAGAGUUCGAGAGAGGUGAGUGGAAUUCCAAGUGUAGAGGUGAAAUUCGUAGAUAUUUGGAGGAACACCAGUGGCGAAGGCGGCUCACUGGCUCGAUACUGACGCUGAGGUGCGAAAGUGUGGGGAGCAAACAGGAUUAGAUACCCUGGUAGUCCACACCGUAAACGAUGAAUGCCAGUCGUCGGGCAGUAUACUGUUCGGUGACACACCUAACGGAUUAAGCAUUCCGGCUGGGGAGUACGGUCGCAAGAUUA
rnacentral:rRNA from 1 species